GAGUGGCGGACGGGUGAGUAACACGUAGGUAACCUGCCCAGAAGCGGGGGACAACAUUUGGAAACAGAUGCUAAUACCGCAUAACAGCGUUGUUCGCAUGAACAACGCUUAAAAGAUGGCUUCUCGCUAUCACUUCUGGAUGGACCUGCGGUGCAUUAGCUUGUUGGUGGGGUAACGGCCUACCAAGGCGAUGAUGCAUAGCCGAGUUGUGAGACUGAUCGGCCACAAUGGGACUGAGACACGGCCCAUACUCCUACGGGAGGCAGCAGUAGGGAAUCUUCCACAAUGGGCGCAAGCCUGAUGGAGCAACACCGCGUGAGUGAAGAAGGGUUUCGGCUCGUAAAGCUCUGUUGUUAAAGAAGAACACGUAUGAGAGUAACUGUUCAUACGUUGACGGUAUUUAACCAGAAAGUCACGGCUAACUACGUGCCAGCAGCCGCGGUAAUACGUAGGUGGCAAGCGUUAUCCGGAUUUAUUGGGCGUAAAGAGAGUGCAGGCGGUUUUCUAAGUCUGAUGUGAAAGCCUUCGGCUUAACCGGAGAAGUGCAUCGGAAACUGGAUAACUUGAGUGCAGAAGAGGGUAGUGGAACUCCAUGUGUAGCGGUGGAAUGCGU
rnacentral:rRNA from 1 species